AGAGUCACCUCAGUGGAGAAGCCUGCACAGGGCUUUGAUGGCUGAGUUUCCCCAGAUGUGGCCUUAGAGAAGCUGAGGAACCCCCUACUUACCUCCAUUUGUCCCCAUCCAUCACUCCCAGGGGGCCACUGCCUGAUGAAUUGCCAGAGGGGAACCACCAGCUCGGCUCUUAAUAACCGGAUCUGCAUCCUGCUGCUGCCCAGCUGGGCUGAGGGCCCUGACCACAGCUAAGGGGAGUCAUCACAGGGCUUCAGGGCUGGAAUUCCAGAACACUGAAGACCCAGAGGAGCCCCUGAUCGCCUCCCAGAGCACGGAACCUGAGAUCGGUCACCUGUCUCCCUCUAAGAAGGAGACCAUCAUGGUCACCCUCCAUGGGGCUACCAACCUGCCUGCCUGCAAGGAUGGCUCCGAGCCGUGGCCCUAUGUGGUGGUGUAAGUAGCUGCGUGAGAGUGGGGGCAGGGGAUGGGUUGGGCUGUGAGCAGAAACCAGGGGACAGCUAUUUGGAAUACUAGCACCCAAAGGCCCAGGACUGGGACUGUCAUACCCAGAGGGGAGGAG
rnacentral:lncRNA from 1 species